GGGAUAGAGUUUGUAAAAGUAAAUUUGAUGGCGGACUUGGUGUGAGAUCUUUUAAUUUAGCUCUUCUUUGUAAAUGGUUCAAUCAAAAUGCUCUUUGGGUUAGGAUUAUGAGAUCUAGAUAUGGGGGUUUUUCUGUUGAUUUUAGAGUCAAGUCAGAAUCUCUUUGGUGGAGGGAAAGAUUUUUAGCGAAAAUGUAUCACUCUCUGUAGGAAAUGGUUUGUCUAUUCGUUUUUGGGAUGAUGAU
rnacentral:lncRNA from 1 species